rnacentral:rRNA from 1 species
AGAGUUUGAUCCUGGCUCAGGAUGAACGCUGGCGGCGUGCCUAACACAUGCAAGUCGAACGAAGCCGUGCCGACGGAACUCUUCGGAGGGAAGACGGCACGGACUUAGUGGCGGACGGGUGAGUAACGCGUGGGUAACCUGCCCUGUACAGGGGGACAACAGCCGGAAACGGCUGCUAAUACCGCAUAAGCCUGCGGGGCCGCAUGGCCCGGCAGGAAAAGCUGCGGCGGUACAGGAUGGGCCCGCGUCUGAUUAGCCAGUUGGCGGGGUAACGGCCCACCAAAGCAACGAUCAGUAGCCGGCUUGAGAGAGCGAACGGCCACAUUGGGACUGAGACACGGCCCAAACUCCUACGGGAGGCAGCAGUGGGGAAUAUUGCACAAUGGGGGGAACCCUGAUGCAGCAACGCCGCGUGAGUGAAGAAGUACCUCGGUAUGUAAAGCUCUAUCAGCAGGGAAGAAAAUGACGGUACCUGACCAAGAAGCACCGGCUAAAUACGUG